UGGUUGUAACCCUUGGGUGAGCUCCAGUCACUUGGGGUGUUGCUCCCAGCAGCUCCCCUUGCCUCACUGCUCUUCCCCGUGCUGUGCAGCUGGUGGCACUGGAGCAUCGUGCAACCUCCAGCCUCACCCUUGGGCUGCUGCUCUUGGCUCAUGGUAGUUGCUGUUUGCUUUGAACUUUGCUAUAUUCAUAAGCCAGAGCUGGACUUUGCUGCUCAGUGCUGGGGUUUAAAGGCCUCUGUGGGGUUCUCAGUUUCCUCUGGGGAUUUCCACACUCGCUUUAGGAGGAGUUGCUGGGAAGCUCGCUGCUGCUGCCCUCCAGGAGGCUGUUGGGAGAUGAGCUUAGGUGGGAGCCCAGCUCUGUGCACAGUGAUGGAGCAGAGGCCGUGGAUCUCGGCUGCUUUGCCACCUUUCCCCAGAGCGUGUGACCAGCCCAAGAGUGGAGGAAUCAAGCUGAGGAACAGAGAGUUGGCAGCAACGUGUCUGCACCCAUAAGCAGCUUCCUCUAGCUGGAACCCAGCAACUUGUCCCUACAGGCUUCUAUGGCAGAGGCUGCAGAUCUUCGGAUUUCCUUUGCUCAGCUGAGGGCAAGUUCCUUCUUGUUCUUCCUGGCACUUUGCUGCCUGUGAAUUAAAGGAGACAAGUGAGAGGUGUCCACCCAUGGAAACAUGGGCAGCUGCUUCUGGCAGUGUGGAGACCUGGGAAAGGAACAGCCACAAACCAAACACCCGAGGUCUGUUUGAUCCCAGGGCUCAGCCAGUUCUCUUGCCAAGUCUGGAUGCAUUCAGUGGGGUGCUGGUGGGAGGAAAGAGCCCUUGUGGCAGAGCUGGGGGGCUCGGUGGGAAAAGUGACCACAGCCCAAGGUGUGAGUCUGAGUUUCACUGUGCACAAGUGCUGAAGGCUGGGCCUGUUUGGCUUUGGAAGUGAGGAGUCAGGGGAGGUCAGAGGGGAUCAAAAGAAUGAGCUGUUCCCUUCCUUACGUUGGUUAUGGAAGUGGAGGCAGCUCAGCCGUGUACACUGAGGUUUGCUGGCUGGGGGGGAAUGGUCUCUUCAGGUCUCUCUGGACCUAGUGGAGAAGCUGCGAGACAGACAAGCAGUGUGUAGGGAGUCUGUCCUGCCAUUGCAUUCCCUCUUUGGUCUUCAGGGUUUUGUUGCAGGCACCUCAGUUUUCCCAUCAGAUCCACUUGUGUUACCCUGGUGGUUUCCCACAGGCCCUGGAGCAGGAAUCCCUUGGAGCGCUAUGGGCAGAAGCUUUGCCACUGGUUCUCUUAUCGAUCAGGCUGAGUUUCUUGCCUUUCAUUAUGUGGGGCUGUCCCUUGGGGCUGGGCCACCCAUUAGGUUUGGACUCCAAAGGGGUCUCCAGUUUGAUGAGGAUGGCUUGGGGUCAUUCCCUGGGGCUGGGAUAUGCUCAGAACACUCUGACAGAACUGGGGGUGCUUCCUCAUGUCUGAAAG